UGGGGAAUAUUGCACAAUGGGGGAAACCCUGAUGCAGCGACGCCGCGUGGAGGAAGAAGGUCUUCGGAUUGUAAACUCCUGUUGUUGGGGAAAAAGAGGAUGGUACCCAACAAGGAAGUGACGGCUAACUACGUGCCAGCAGCCGCGGUAAAACGUAGGUCACAAGCGUUGUCCGGAAUUACUGGGUGUAAAGGGAGCGCAGGCGGGUAUGCAAGUUGGGAGUGAAAUACAUGGGCUCAACCCAUGAACUGCUCUCAAAACUGUGUAUCUUGAGUAGUGCAGAGGUAGGCGGAAUUCCCGGUGUAGCGGUGGAAUGCGUAGAUAUCGGGAGGAACACCAGUGGCGAAGGCGGCCUACUGGGCACCAACUGACGCUGAGGCUCGAAAGUGUGGGUAGCAAACA
rnacentral:rRNA from 2 species